AGUGAACGCUGGCGGUAGGCCUAACACAUGCAAGUCGAACGGCAGCACAGUAAGAGCUUGCUCUUACGGGUGGCGAGUGGCGGACGGGUGAGGAAUACAUCGGAAUCUACUUUUUCGUGGGGGAUAACGUAGGGAAACUUACGCUAAUACCGCAUACGACCUACGGGUGAAAGCAGGGGAUCUUCGGACCUUGCGCGAUUGAAUGAGCCGAUGUCGGAUCAGCUAGUUGGCGGGGUAAAGGCCCACCAAGGCGACGAUCCGUAGCUGGUCUGAGAGGAUGAUCAGCCACACUGGAACUGAGACACGGUCCAGACUCCUACGGGAGGCAGCAGUGGGGAAUAUUGGACAAUGGGCGCAAGCCUGAUCCAGCCAUACCGCGUGGGUGAAGAAGGCCUUCGGGUUGUAAAGCCCUUUUGUUGAGAAAGAAAAGCAGCAGGUUAAUACCCCGCUGUUCUGACGGUACCCAAAGAAUAAGCACCGGCUAACUUCGUG
rnacentral:rRNA from 1 species